rnacentral:rRNA from 1 species
UCCGUAGGCGGGCGUCUAAGUCAGUGGUGAAAUCUUACAGCUCAACUGUAAAAUUGCCAUUGAUACUGGAUGUCUUGAAUUAGUGUGAAGUGGUUAGAAUGUGUAGUGUAGCGGUGAAAUGCAUAGAUAUUACACAGAAUACCAACUGCGAAGGCAGAUCACUAACACUAUAUUGACGCUGAGGGACGAAAGCGUGGGGAGCGAACAGGAUUAGAUACCCUGGUAGUCC